rnacentral:rRNA from 1 species
GACGAACGCUGGCGGCGUGCUUAACACAUGCAAGUCGAACGGAAAGGCCCUGCUUUUGUGGGGUGCUCGAGUGGCGAACGGGUGAGUAACACGUGAGUAACCUGCCCUUGACUUUGGGAUAACUUCAGGAAACUGGGGCUAAUACCGGAUAGGAGCUCCUGCUGCAUGGUGGGGGUUGGAAAGUUUCGGCGGUUGGGGAUGGACUCGCGGCUUAUCAGCUUGUUGGUGGGGUAGUGGCUUACCAAGGCUUCGACGGGUAGCCGGCCUGAGAGGGUGACCGGCCACAUUGGGACUGAGAUACGGCCCAGACUCCUAGGGGAGGCAGCAGUGGGGAAUAUUGCACAAUGGGCGGAAGCCUGAGGCAGCAACGCCGCGUGCGGGAUGACGGCCUUCGGGUUGUAAACCGCUUUCGCCUGUGACGAAGCGUGAGUGACGGUAAUGGGUAAAGAAGCACCGGCUAACUACGUG